CAAGCAGUAGUACCAUCUCAAGUCAAAGGAUCAGUCACACAACUACAGUAUCGAGACAAUCACUAAUAAUUGAAUAAAAAUCCAAAUGAUCUCUCGUAUGAUCACGCUCAGUGCUAGUUGUUCUCUAACAACCAUCUGCACUCAUCGUCUUAUAUCUCUACACAAUAGAUUAGAGAUCUAUCUAUCCUAAAAGAAGUGAUUUGUACGUCAAUCUUUUCGAAUCUGUCACCAUCCUCAUGAUGAUCCU
rnacentral:lncRNA from 1 species